UACUUAGGGUGCAAGCGUUAAUCGGAAUUACUGGGCGUAAAGCGUGCGCAGGCGGCUUUGCAAGACAGAUGUGAAAUCCCCGGGCUCAACCUGGGAACUGCAUUUGUGACUGCAUGGCUAGAGUACGGUAGAGGGGGAUGGAAUUCCGCGUGUAGCAGUGAAAUGCGUAGAUAUGCGGAGGAACACCGAUGGCGAAGGCAAUCCCCUGGACCUGUACUGACGCUCAUGCACGAAAGCGUGGGGAGCAAACAGG
rnacentral:rRNA from 1 species